GACGAACGCUGGCGGCGUGCUUAACACAUGCAAGUCGAACGAUGAAGCCGGAGCUUGCUCUGGUGAAUUAGUGGCGAACGGGUGAGUAACACGUGAGUAACCUGCCCUUGACUCUGGGAUAACUGCGGGAAACUGUAGCUAAUACCGGAUACGACCCUCGGAGGCAUCUCCUGGGGGUGGAAAGAAUUUCGGUCAAGGAUGGACUCGCGGCCUAUCGGCUAGUUGGUGAGGUAAAGGCUCACCAAGGCGACGACGGGUAGCCGGCCUGAGAGGGUGACCGGCCAUACUGGGACUGAGACACGGCCCAGACUCCUACGGGAGGCAGCAGUGGGGAAUAUUGCACAAUGGGCGCAAGCCUGAUGCAGCAGCGCCGCGUGAGGGAUGACGGCCUUCGGGUUGUAAACCUCUUUUAGCAGGGAAGAAGCGAAAGUGACGGUACCUGCAGAAAAAGCACCGGCUAACUACGUGCCAGCCGCCGCUGUAA
rnacentral:rRNA from 1 species